AGUGAACGCUGGCGGUAGGCCUAACACAUGCAAGUCGAACGGCAGCACAGUAAGAGCUUGCUCUUACGGGUGGCGAGUGGCGGACGGGUGAGGAAUACAUCGGCAUCUACUUUUUCGUGGGGGAUAACGUAGGGACACUUACGCUACUACCGCAUACGACCUACGGGUGAAAGCAGGGGAUCUUCGGACCUUGCGCGUUUGAAUGAGCCGAUGUCGGAUUAGAUAGUUGGCGAGGUAAAGGCCCACCAAGGCAACGAUGCGUAGCCGAGCUGAGAGGAUGGUCGGCCACACUGGAACGGAGACAAGGUCCAGGCGCCUAAGGGAGGCAGCAGAAGGGAAUAUUGCGAAAUGGGCGCAAGUAUGACGGAGCAAAGCCGCGUGAGUGAUGAAGGUCUUCGGAUCGUAAAACUCUGUUAUUAGGGAAGAACAAAUGUGUAAGUAAAUAUGCACGUCUUGACGGUAAAUAAUAAGAAAGCAACGGCUAACUACGUG
rnacentral:rRNA from 1 species